ACACUUCUCAGGACAGUAUAUUCAACGUUUAGUAGGUCUUCUGUGAAGAAAGGCAAAUUCAAUGAGUUGGCAGAUGUUUUAGAAGUGGAUUCACUGUCUUUUAGACCGCUGAACGAGGUUCGCUGGCUGUCGCGUCACCAAGCUGUAAAUUCGUUUUUGCGAAACUACAGUUUGUUAACAGAGUACUGCACAAAAGAAGCAAACAACGACGACCCGAUUGCGAAAUACUGUCUCAAAAAACUGUCUGAUCCGAAGUACAGAGUUGCAAUUACUGUGCUUGGGGAUGUGUUGGAAGAACUAGCUCAGCUCUGUGUCUCCUUGCAGCGAAGUAAUCUUACCACGAUUGACGCUCAUUGCUAUGCCAGAGCUAAAAUGGAAAAACUUCGAUCUCAGUAUCUUGGGCAGCAUGUUUACUGGAGCAAUCGAGUGAAUGAGCUGUUAGAAAAAAGUGACAGUUCAGUAAAUACAACGAACAUUAUUCUGUUUGUGCAUAAAGUCUGUGACCAUCUUGAUGCUCGAUUUCCUGAAGGUGAGCUUAAAGAAUGGUCUGCUUUUAGCCUAGAAACACUGGAUUCAGCACUGGAUUUUGAUUAUGGUACAGAUUAUGUAACCAGACUGACAGAGAAGUUCCACGCUUUUCUAAAACAAACAGACGAGUCAGCAACUGCGAGUAUUUGUCAGCAGUACAAGGAUUUCAAGUUCACCGUCAAGGAACAACGAAAGAUGGGGGCGCUGCAGACAUUUGGCGAGAUGGUAACCUGGACACUAAAAAGUCAGGAUUUCACUGAGCUUGCACAGUUGAUUGACAUUUGCGGGACAUUCCAAGCGUCUAGUGCAGACUGUGAACGUGGAUUCAGUCUCAUGAAUCGUAUCAAGACAAAUUCACGCAACCGCCUGCAGACCGCCCACUUGGAUCAGCUUAUGAGAAUCCGGACUACACAAACAGAGGGCCCUAUAAAUCUGGACAAGGUCUACAAUCACUGGAAAGGAGACAAGGAUAGACGGGAAAGGUUUUAAGAUGCUGUUUUAAGAGAGGUUCUAAUCUCCACAGACCUGCACAGCCAGUCAAGAAAGGACUAAAGAGAUGCUGUUUUGGGAGAGGUUCUAAUCGUCACAGACCUGCACAUUCAAGAAAGGACUGAAGAAGCACUAUGUUGUUUGUAUAUGGUUUAAAUGAAAUGUGGUUUAAUAAAAUGUGUUUGGUUAAAAAUACGGUACUGUCAUA